GUAGGGUGCGAGCGUUAAUCGGAAUUACUGGGCGUAAAGCGUGCGCAGGUGGUUGUUUAAGACAGAUGUGAAAUCCCCGGGCUUAACCUGGGAACUGCGUUUGUGACUGGACAGCUAGAGUGCGGCAGAGGGGGGUGGAAUUCCACGUGUAGCAGUGAAAUGCGUAGAGAUGUGGAGGAACACCGAUGGCGAAGGCAGCCCCCUGGGCCAGCACUGACGCUCAUGCACGAAAGCGUGGGGAGCAAAC
rnacentral:rRNA from 1 species